rnacentral:rRNA from 1 species
CCUACGGGAGGCAGCAGUGGGGAAUCUUGCACAAUGGGGGAAACCCUGAUGCAGCGACGCCGCGUGAGCGACGAAGCCCUUCGGGGUGUAAAGCUCUUUCGGCAGGGACGAUAAUGACGGUACCUGCAGAAGAAGCUGCGGCUAACUACGUGCCAGCAGCCGCGGUAAUACGUAGGCAGCGAGCGUUGUUCGGAAUUACUGGGCGUAAAGCGUGCGUAGGCGGUCGGCUAAGUUUGGUGUGAAAUCUCCCGGCGAAACCGGGAGGGUGCGCCGAAAACUGGCGGGCUAGAGUGCGGGAGAGGGAAGUGAAAUUCCUGGUGUAGCGGUGAAAUGCGUAGAUAUCUGGAGGAACACCGGAGGCGAAGGCGGUCUCCUGGCCCGUUACUGACGCUCAGGCACGAAAGCGUGGGGAGCAAACAGGAUUAGAUACCCCGGUAGU